rnacentral:rRNA from 1 species
CACGCCUAACACAUGCAAGUCGAACGAAGUAGCAAUACUUAGUGGCAGACGGGUGAGUAACAUGUAGGUAUCUGCCCUAUGGCCUGGAAUAACACGAGGAAACUUGUGCUAAUACCGGAUAAGUCUUUACAGAGAAAGCUUUAUGCACCAUUGGAUGAGCCUGCACUUGAUUAGUUUGUUGGUGGGGUAAUGGCCUACCAAGACUGUGAUCAAUAGCUGAUUUGAGAGGAUGAUCAGCCACAUUGGGACUGAGACACGGCCCAAACUCCUACGGGAGGCAGCAGUGGGGAAUCUUGCACAAUGGAGGAAACUCUGAUGCAGCGAUGCCGCGUGAGUGAAGAAGGCCUUUGGGUUGUAAAGCUCUUUCGUCGGGGAAGAAAAUGACUGUACCCGAAUAAGAAGGUCCGGCUAACUUCGUGCCAGCAGCCGCGGUAAUACGAAGGGACCUAGCGUAGUUCGGAAUUACUGGGCUUAAAGAGUUCGUAGGUGGUUGAAAAAGUUGGUGGUGAAAUCCCAGAGCUUAACUCUGGAACUGCCAUCAAAACUUUUCAGCUAGAGUAUGAUAGAGGAAAGCAGAAUUUCUAGUGUAGAGGUGAAAUUCGUAGAUAUUAGAAAGAAUACCAAUUGCGAAGGCAGCUUUCUGGAUCAUUACUGACACUGAGGAACGAAAGCAUGGGUAGCGAAGAGGAUUAGAUACCCUCGUAGUCCAUGCCGUAAACGAUGUGUGUUAGACGUUGGAAAUUUAUUUU